UCACCUAACCAUGCCACCCUGAACAUACCUAUCCCAUCUGGUUUUGGAAGCUAACCUGGGAUUGAUCUGGUUAGUAUGUGGAUGGGAAAUGCCCAGGAAAUACCAGGAACCGUACUGGGGGAA
rnacentral:rRNA from 1 species